AUUGAACGCUGGCGGCAGGCCUAACACAUGCAAGUCGAACGAGUGGCGGACGGGUGAGUAAUGUCUGGGAAACUGCCCGAUGGAGGGGGAUAACUACUGGAAACGGUAGCUAAUACCGCAUACCAUCUGAUGUGCCCCGAUGGGUUUAGCUAGUAGGGGGGGUAACGGCUCACCUAGGCGACGAUCCCUAGCUGGUCGGAGGGGAUGACCAGCCACACGGGAACUGUGACACGUUCCAGACUCCUACGGGAGGCAGCAUGGGGGAAUAUUGCAAAAGGGGCGAAAGCCUGAUGCAGCCAUGCCGCGUGUAUGAAGAAGGUCUUCGGGUUGUAAAGUACUUUCAGCGAGGAGGCGUUACUCGCAGAAGAAGCACCGGCUAACUACGUGCCAGCCGCCGCGGUAAUUC
rnacentral:rRNA from 1 species